rnacentral:misc_RNA from 1 species
AAGUCGUAACAAGGUUUCCGUAGGUGAACCUGCGGAAGGAUCAUUAACACGUUUCAAACGUAUCAACCAAACCGCGAACUCUGACGUUAGUGACCUCAUUCAGCUUGCUGAGUGAUGGUUGCGCCUGAGCUUUGUUAGGGGAAAGUGCUGUUUGGGUCUAACUCAGACAGAGUGCUUCCUUUAACACUGUUCACAUUAACCCAAACCUUUAUUUGUUGUUCAUUUCUCGUUGUAAAGGACGUGGCGUUCGCGCUAUUGUCUUUUAUUACAAACUUGUACAACUCUUAGCAACGGAUGUCUUGGUUUCC